GGGGAUUAAAUUAAUCCAAAAAAAAAAGAAAAAAAGAAUGAGGAGGAGGAGGGGGAGGAGGAGAGAAGAACAAGAAGAAGAAGGAGGAGGAAGAGGAGAAAAAAGAGAAGGAGGAAGAGGCAACAUGAGGAAUGGAUCUGUCAUUUUCUUGCCAAAAGUUUACUCUCCUUAGUGAUAUAACCAAGUCAAUGGUUCACCUUAAAAUGACCUUUUAAAAUGAUGUAACAAGGUAUGAACAAGAGCUACCCUUUCUGGGGUCAUCAAAGUUUGGAUAAGGGGGCAAACAACUGUUGUCCCUGAUUUAGAGUUUUCAAAUGUGUUUGAUGCCAUCCACACACAAACCCAACUGUGGGAAUAGUGAAAACGUCUAAAAUUGAUUGAAACUGGAGGAUCCAUCUCUCCUCAUUUUUUUGCCUGAAGAUUUCUGUUUGUGGAGUGAUCUGCAAGCAUGUCUGAUCAAAAGGAGUCACCACCAAGUGGUGUAAAACCUUCCUCUUCUCAACCCAUUAGCACUUCCAGCUCUUCUGAUUCAAAAGAGAAUCUCAUAGAAAAUUUACUAGACAACUUGCUUCCUGAAAUCCUUGUGACAGAAGAAAAAGAAGAAUCUUCUACAGAAAUAAGUCGCAAAAGGCCAGAGUUGCUGAUUCAGGAUACCACCAAAACUCCACCUCCUUCCACAGCUCCUUCCCUAUCUUUAGACUCUUUUACUUUUUCUCCAGUUAAAAGUGAUGACAAACAACUGAAAGUCCCAGGACUAGCACCAUUUUUAUCAAGCAGCUCAGAGGAAGCACUGUUCAAAGAAGGAUUGGAGGAUAUCCGGAAAAUAACAUCAGGGGUCAGCAGAUGUUCACUUAUAUCUGAAGUUUCAGCCAUCCAUGAUAGGUCUUGGAACAAAUCCCCCAUGGGUACAGCAGCCCUACAGGACAAUAUAUUGAUUUCUUGUUGGGAAAUAGCCAGCUUCUUCAUGGAGUAGGAGGAAAGACAUGAUGGAGAGUCAGUCACGAGAACUUUGAGGACAUAAGACAACAGCUGGCCAGUUACAAAGUGGUUAUCUAACCUAGAUUAUAGUUCAGAUGACUAAUUCUGAGGUAAGAGAUACUGAGUGGUGGUUCUCACUACACGAGCAACCACUUCUCCCACUGAAGGAUUAAGAAACUCAACAGAAUUUGCCUUAACCCAAAGGAGGACAACAGACAAAAGAGGAUAGGCUAGACCCAGAAAUAACCUUUCCAGACUAAAAUUCCUAAUGUGUAGAAUAUUCUAACCCUGGUGAUAGAUGCCAUGGGAAGAGAUAGCUUCCAUCAAGGUUAGAGAUAGUGACAGUCAGCUUGGGUCAUCCACCAGCUUGGGGUUGGCACUUCAGGCCAUUAGUUGUAUAGAUUCAAGACUUAGUCUGUGUCUUUGAUAAGCUCAAAAAGAUUUUGGUAGAAGCACCAAGUGACCAAACUUUAGGAGAAAAGGGAGAAGUGAUUGCCCAUUUAGUCCAGUGACUGGGUUAUUUAUAAUAUGUGCUUUGUGAUGCCAGUGUAUGGUGUUAGAUGUGUGUCAUACAAGCCAUAUAUGUUUAUUCUGCACUACGCUUUUAUAGCUGAGUUGUGCGUUUUUGCUAUUUACAGGAGUAUAUCAUAUCAUGCAAUUUACUAUUGCUAUUUUUUCAUUUUCUGGAGAGGGAAAUAGCAAAUCACUCUAAUAUUUCUGCCAGGAAGACCCCAAAUGGGAUCAUAAAGAGUUUGACAUGACCAAAAAGACUGAGCAACAACAACAUUGCCUUUCCUAUGUUUCUGUAUGUGAUCUAUUCAUUUAGUCAUCAUAAUCAAUGACAGAUGAUGCAUGAGAUUUGUACCCUUAGCUUCACAUGUGUAAUGCUGUUAUAUGUUUUGGUACAUAUAUGUAUGUCACUAAGUACAUCCUAAUGCAAUCCUAACUAUAUGUAAUUCCAGUAUAAAUGCCAUAUUUUAUACAUUUGCAUGUGUGUUGUACUAAAUAGAAGGAAAGGAAUAAAAACAACUGUUAAAGUGCCUACUAUGUGCCA
ensembl:lncRNA